rnacentral:rRNA from 1 species
AACGAACGCUGGCGGCAUGCCUAACACAUGCAAGUCGAACGAAGCCUUCGAGCUUAGUGGCGCACGGGUGCGUAACGCGUGGGAAUCUGCCCUUAGGUACGGAAUAACUCAGGGAAACUUGUGCUAAUACCGUAUGAUGUCGCGAGACCAAAGAUUUAUCGCCUAGGGAUGAGCCCGCGUUGGAUUAGCUAGUUGGUGAGGUAAAGGCUCACCAAGGCGACGAUCCAUAGCUGGUCUGAGAGGAUGAUCAGCCACACUGGGACUGAGACACGGCCCAGACUCCUACGGGAGGCGGCAGUGGGGAAUAUUGGACAAUGGGCGAAAGCCUGAUCCAGCAAUGCCGCGUGAGUGAAGAAGGCCUUCGGGUUGUAAAGCUCUUUUACCCGGGAAGAUAACGACUGUACCGGGAGAAUAAGCCCCGGCUAACUCCGUGCCAGCCGCCGCCGUAA